rnacentral:rRNA from 1 species
GACGAACGCUGGCGGCGUGCUUAACACAUGCAAGUCGAACGGAAAUGCCCUGCUUUUGUGGGGUGCUCGAGUGUCGAACGGGUGAGUAACACGUGAGUAACCUGCCCUUGACUUUGGGAUAACUUCAGGAAACUUGGUCUAAUACCGGAUAGGAGCUCCUGCUGCAAGGUGGGGGUAGGAAAGUUUCGGCGGUUGGGGAUGUACUCGCGGCUUAUCAGCUUGUUGUUGGGGUAGUGGCUUACCAAGGCUUUGACGUGUAGCCGGCCGGAGAGGGUGAGCGGCCACAUUGGGAAUGACCCUACGCACACACUCCUACGGCCGGCAGCAGUGGGGAAUAUUGCACACUGGGCGGAGGCAUGAUGCAGCCACGCAGCGUGCCGGAUGACGGCCUUCGCGUUGUAGCCCGCUUUCGCCUGUGACGAAGCGUCAGUGACGGUAAUGGGUAAAGAAGCACCGGCUAACUACGUG